CAAUCCCUGAGUAAAGUGGCGACCGGGUGAGUAACACGUGACUAACCUACCCUCGAGUGUGGAAUAACCUCGGGAAACCGAGGCUAAUACCGCAUAAAAUCGAAAGAUCAAAGGAGCAAUCCGCUUUUGGAGGGGGUCGCGGCUGAUUAGCUAGUUGGUGAGGUAAUGGCUCACCAAGGCGAAGAUCGGUAUCCGGCCUGAGAGGGCGCACGGACACACUGGAACUGAAACACGGUCCAGACUCCUACGGGAGGCAGCAGUGGGGAAUUUUGCGCAAUGGGGGAAACCCUGACGCAGCAACGCCGCGUGGAGGAUGAAGCCCCUUGGGGCGUAAACUCCUUUCGACUGGGAAGAUUAUGACGGUACCAGUGGAAGAAGCACCGGCUAACUCUGUGCCAGCAGCCGCGGUAAUACAGAGGGUGCGA
rnacentral:rRNA from 1 species